UUCUUACUGAAAUAAUCGUAAGUAACACCUGCUCAAUGAACAUUUAAAUAGCCGCGGAAAUUUAACCGUGCUAAGGUAGCAUAAUCAUUAGCCUCUUAAUUAGAGGCUAGUAUGAACGGUGAAACAUUUCAAUUACUUUUUUAAUUAAUAUUUUUAAAUUUAAAUUAAGAAUAAAAAUGUUCUUAUUCUUUAAAAAGACGAUAAGACCCUUUUGAACUUUACUUCUGUUUGGCUGGGGCAGCUAAAUAAAAAUGAUCUUAUUUUUAUAAUUUAUAUAAAUGACCCAAUAUAAUUGAUUACAUGACCAAGUUACCAUAGGGAUAACAGCGUAAUAUCUUUUUAAAGCUCUUAUUAAAAAAGAAGAUUGCGACCUCGAUGUUGAAUUAGUGUAACUUUACUGAUGCAGUAAUUUUAAAAGUAGGUCUGUUCGACCUUUAAAACAUUACAU
rnacentral:rRNA from 1 species